rnacentral:rRNA from 1 species
CAUAGGUUAAUGAGGCGAACCGGGGGAACUGAAACAUCUAAGUACCCCGAGGAAAAGAAAUCAACCGAGAUUCCCCCAGUAGCGGCGAGCGAACGGGGAGCAGCCCAGAGCCUGAAUCAGUGUGUGUGUUAGUGGAAGCGUCUGGAAAGGCGCGCGAUACAGGGUGACAGCCCCGUACACAAAAAUGCACAUGCUGUGAGCUCGAUGAGUAGGGCGGGACACGUGGUAUCCUGUCUGAAUAUGGGGGGACCAUCCUCCAAGGCUAAAUACUCCUGACUGACCGAUAGUGAACCAGUACCGUGAGGGAAAGGCGAAAAGAACCCCGGCGAGGGGAGUGAAAAAGAACCUGAAACCGUGUACGUACAAGCAGUGGGAGCACGCUUAGGCGUGUGACUGCGUACCUUUUGUAUAAUGGGUCAGCGACUUAUAUUCUGUAGCAAGGUUAACCGAAUAGGGGAGCCGAAGGGAAACCGAGUCUUAACUGGGCGUUAAGUUGCAGGGUAUAGACCCGAAACCCGGUGAUCUAGCCAUGGGCAGGUUGAAGGUUGGGUAACACUAACUGGAGGACCGAACCGACUAAUGUUGAAAAAUUAGCGGAUGACUUGUGGCUGGGGGUGAAAGGCCAAUCAAACCGGGAGAUAGCUGGUUCUCCCCGAAAGCUAUUUAGGUAGCGCCUCGUGAAUUCAUCUCCGGGGGUAGAGCACUGUUUCGGCAAGGGGGUCAUCCCGACUUACCAACCCGAUGCAAACUGCGAAUACCGGAGAAUGUUAUCACGGGAGACACACGGCGGGUGCUAACGUCCGUCGUGAAGAGGGAAACAACCCAGACCGCCAGCUAAGGUCCCAAAGUCAUGGUUAAGUGGGAAACGAUGUGGGAAGGCCCAGACAGCCAGGAUGUUGGCUUAGAAGCAGCCAUCAUUUAAAGAAAGCGUAAUAGCUCACUGGUCGAGUCGGCCUGCGCGGAAGAUGUAACGGGGCUAAACCAUGCACCGAAGCUGCGGCAGCGACGCUUAUGCGUUGUUGGGUAGGGGAGCGUUCUGUAAGCCUGCGAAGGUGUACUGUGAGGUAUGCUGGAGGUAUCAGAAGUGCGAAUGCUGACAUAAGUAACGAUAAAGCGGGUGAAAAGCCC